UUCUUCAUGCAUGUUAUGUUUGUUAUAUUUUUUUAAUGAAAUUGCUUAGUUUGAAGAGGAGGAAGAAUAAACAUUCCCUAUGUACACCUCAGCCUACGCCACUGUGCCUGGUCUGUAUUGUGAAUGGGGAGACAUGG